AUGGGUCACUUGAUGGUUACCUGGCAUUGGCCACUGUCGGCAGACAGGAUGCUGUGCUAGAUGGAUUCUUGGUCUGCCCCAGUCUGGCCGGGUGCUGCCUCUGUUGCUCUUUGUACCAUACUAAGAACAGGGGGAAACCUCACGCUGGGAGCUGAGUUCCGAACAGCUGGAUGAAGACGUGCAGCGUCUGGCUAGUUACCUGCCCCCCUUCUCUGGCAGGUUCUGGUGGCUCCGGCAGCAGCAGGCAAGGGAGACCGCUGGGGGCUCCCCUCCCAGACUGUUUGUGUAGGGUUCAUACCCGAACCCUGCGCAUCACACAGCGCGAACCUCGCUGUGACUGCCUCCUGCGAGCUAGAAUUUGUUACAGGUGUCGGCGGAGGUUUGCAGCCAGAGGCUCACACUUCAGCGGACUCGCCACAGCUGUCCGAGCUCCGCUGGGUCAGCGGCUGGACUGGAGAUAUUUGAGACCUUGCAAAUGAUUAAAUGUGUCUUCCUUGCGCUGGUCCUGGCGCCGUGCGCGCUUUCCCAGCUGCAGCUGGUGGCCUCCGGCCCUGGGGUGGGCAAAAUCUCCGAGCCCCUCACACUGACCUGCGCUGUCUCCGGGUUCUCCAUCACUACUCAGUAUUACUACUGGUACUGGAUCCGGCAGCCUCCUGGAGAAGGGCUGGAAUCCAUGGGAUGGGUACAUCCAUAUAAUGGGGGUACCGGCUACGCCCCGUCUCUCCAAGGCCGGAUCACCAUCUCUGCAGACACCGCCAGGAACCAGUUCUCCCUGCAGCUCCGCUCGCUGACAGCUGCAGACACCGGCACCUAUUACUGCGCCAGGGGAGACACGCUGCAGCUGGUGAGUUCGGGCCCUGGCGUGGGGAAGGUCUCAGAGCCCCUCACACUGGCAUGGGACGUCUAUGGGGCAUCCCUCGAGACCGGAUUUUCCUGGUCGAGGUCCCGCGUGGAUCGGACUGACGCACUGUGA